CUUUACAUAUUAUACCCAAACGGGCCACCCAUUUGUAAGGUCAACUCUAAUGGCGGUGAAACCUCCAAGAAAGCUAUACCAGUGAUCAACAAACACUCAAACUCACAGUAUACUGUAGCCAUAUUCUGGAAAAAAAUGCUGCGACGCAAAUGUUCUUACCAUUUUCAUUCCUUCAGUUCUUCUACUUCUUCCCGCAAUUUCUUUUUAGCCGAAAAAGCCAUAACUUAUCUACAGCUAUAUCCUGACCAAUUAUCUUCUUUACUCCCUGAAUUCAACCCAGAAUCGUCAUGUUUUCUUUUACUUAAAUCUCAAUUCGACAAAACCCUAACCCUAAAAUUUCUCGAUUGGGCACUCGAGUCUUCUAAUUCCAGAAUUUUAGACCCACGAAGCAAAUGCUAUGCUCUUCACAUACUGACCAAGUUCAAACUCUUCAAAUCGGCAUUAUCCCUAGCGCAGGAACUUGCCCGAGAAGUUUCUGAUGAUGAUAUGUCUGGGAGAUUACUCUUUGAUUAUCUUAAGCAAUCUUUUCAUUCGUUUGAUUCAAAUUCGUCUGACGUUUUUGAUUUGAUGGUAAAAUCUUACUCUUAUCUUAAUAUGGUUGAUAAAGCUCUUAAUACUCUUCGUUUUGCUAAAUUAGACGGUUUUAUGCCUGGGGUUUUGUCGUAUAACUCUAUUCUUCAUGCACUUGUACGUACUAAUCCUUCUAUUGAUUCUUCUUUGAAACUUGCUGUAAAGUUGUUUGAUGAGAUGAGGCAGGUUGGGAUUUCUCCUAAUGUCUUUACUUACAAUAUUUUGAUAAGAGGGUUUUCAGGGGCGGGCCAUCUGGAUAAAGCUGUGAACUUGUUUUUGGAGAUGGAAAAAAAUGGUUGUUUGCCUAAUGUUGUAUCUUAUAAUACUCUAAUUGACGCUCAAUUUAAAUUCGGUAAAUCUAACCAAGCAAUUGGGUUGUUUAAAACUCUUAAAUCGAAGCGUUUGCAGCCAAAUUUGAUUACUUAUAAUAUUAUGAUUAAUGGGUUGUGUUGUGAGGGGAAGAUGAAGGAAGCUAAUGAGGUGGUUGAUGAUAUGUGUGCACGGGGUUUCAAACCUGAUGAGGUUACUUAUAAUACUCUUGUUAAUGGGUAUUGUAAAGUAGGUAAUUUUCAUCAGGCACUUGUUUUGCAUUCUGAGAUGGUUAAGAGUGGCUUGUCCCCAAAUGUUGUUACCUAUACUUCUCUCAUUAAUUGUAUGUGCAAAGUGGGUAAUCUGAAUCGUGCGAUGGAAUUCGUGGAUCAAAUGCACUCUAGAGGGCUUCGGCCUAAUGGGAAGACAUAUACGACCUUGAUUGAUGGGUUUUCUCAGCAAGGUUUGAUGAAGGAAGCAUAUCGUUUGUUGAACCAGAUGAUUGCAAGUGGAUUUGAACCUUCUAUUGUGACUUACAAUGCCCUUAUCAAUGGACAUUGUGUUUCGGGUAGGAUGAAGGAAGCUUUGAGUGUAGUUCAGGAUAUGGAGGAGAGAGGGUUGGUUCCUGAUGUUGUGAGUUAUAGUACACUUAUAUCUGGUUUCUGCAAGAAUUUAGAACUGGAUCAGGCGUUUUGGAUAAAAAGUGAGAUGGUUGAGAAGGGCAUUACACCAGAUGCUAUUACAUAUUCAUCUCUAAUCAAGGGACUUUGUGAGCAAAAUCAACUUGCUGAAGCCUGUGCUCUUUUCAGGGAUAUGUUAAAUUUAGGUUUGCGACCAGAUGAAAUUACAUAUACUACGCUGAUAAAUGCACAUUGUGCAGAAGGGGAUAUACGACAGGCGUUCUGCCUUCACGACGAGAUGAUACAGAAGGGUCUCCUUCCUGAUGUGGUCACAUAUAGUGUGUUGAUUAAUGGUCUUAAUAAACAAGCUAGGAGUAGGGAAGCAAAACAGCUUUUGCUGAAGAUGUUUUAUGACGAUUCUGUCCCUUCUGACAUCACCUAUGAUGCACUGAUACAGAGUUGUGGUGGCAUUGAAUUUAGGAGUGGUGUGGCUCUUUUGAAGGGAUUUUGCAUGAAGGGUUUGAUGAAGGAAGCCGAUAAAGUCUUUGAAUCAAUGCUUAGGAGAGAUCACAAACCAUCCGAAGCAGUGUAUAAUGUAAUCAUUCAUGGUCAUGCUAAGCGUGGGAAUUUGCAAAGGGCGUAUAAUUUGUAUGAAGAGAUGAUGCGUUGUGGUCUAAGUCCUCAUGCUUUAACAAUCAUUGCUUUGAUCAAAGCUCUUUAUAGAGGAGAAAUGAACAAGGAGCUGGAGGAAAUCUUGAAUAAUGUGUUGAGAAGCUGUAAGCUUAAUGAAGCAGAGCUUGCCAAGAUUCUUGUUGAGGUUAACCAUAAAAAUGGCAACAUGGAUGCAGUUUUGAAUGUGCUUACUGAUAUGGCCAAGGAUGGCCUGCUGCCAAAAAGUGGGAGAAUUGGCAGGAAUAUACGAUAAAUUUAUGGGGUGUCACCGUCUCAGUGUUGUAGUUUGCUGGAAAGUCUCCAUUGUCACAAGUCACAACCAUAAACAAAUGUUAUGGUUUGAGUUACUAAUCUGCUCCAUUGAGUUUGCUCGACGUAGCACACAAAAUGUUGUUUGGUUUGGUAAUGAUAAAACAAAAAUUGAAUUGUGUAGAUGGUAUCGAGAUUUGAGAGGAAGAUAAGAUGUGGAUGAGAAAUAACGUAAGAAGAGGGAUUACUUCUCGAAAUGAAAAUGUAGCAACAUCACUAAGAUAGACCUAGACGGAUUAAGAAUAUAAGCAAAUUCACAGCCAAAGCCAAAGGGAAUACUCAUGGUCAUGGGUCAUGACUUGUGAUAUGUAGCAACUUAACUAUUGUAUACAAAUUAUCAUCCUUUCAUCAAAAUGAGCUGCUCAUACACCAAUCAACCAUUGAAGAGGAAAAGUACGGAUUCAUGCUGUUGAGUGUUGGCAGCUCAGCCUUCCAACAAUUUGGUUUUGCGCUCUUCCUUUUGUGGAUUUUUUGAUGGUGGUUUGUAUUUUGUUGCACUAUAUUUAUGUUCGAUUUCGUUCUUAGAUGCAAAUGUCCAUAUCUAAAUUGAAGUGUUCAUCUACCAGUAUGCUCAACUCUAAUCGUAAUUUGCUCAGAAUGUUGAUGCUUUUAGAAGUCUGGAAAAGAAAAGCUUUAAAUUUACCAGAAGGGUUCUGGGUUUGUGAUGUGCUACAUGCCACUAAAGCAGUAAUGAAAUACCACGCUGCAAUCUACUAUAACUUUAACUGCUUGUCAUUGCAUCGCUACCUUUUUCGUCCCCCUUUUCUCUUCAAAACUCCCUCUGUAAAAAUCACUAGAUGUACACUCAAACAUCAACUUCUUGGAAUUAUAAGCUUUGAAUACACAAAUUUGACUAUGCAAACUACGUUUAGAUGUGAUUUCUAACCUAAUUUUUUUUUUCAAAUAAAAAUUGGAAAAGCGACAAGUUGACUUGAUCUAUGUCUAGUCGCACGUUUUGUGCAACUUGACCUAAGUUAAGUUGCAUAUUUUGUGCGACUUUUCAAAUUUUUCUUUCUUUUUUGUUUUUUAUUUGAUAAUCAAUUAGUUAGCUUAAUUAUUAUUUGUUAUUGUUGUUUAUUUAUUAAUUAGUUUAAUAUUAUUGUUUAAUUAAUUAACAUCUAUUGUUUAAUUAUGAGCAUUGUAUAUUUGAUUUGUUUAAUUUAUUAUGAAUUUUUUUAAUCAUAGAGAUCAUUACCGGUAAUCACGGUAGAAGCAAUGAUUUCUUUAGGGGUUUAUUGUCUGAAAACUAGUUACUGACGGCCCUCAUGAGAGAGGUGUACUGGUCAUUUCCGUGCUGUCGAGAGUCAAGCCUAGAGAUCUAGCACCUUAGAACAAGUGCAUACUCACAUUGAUGAUCCUAUGACCAAGCAUAGUUCGUCGAGUUCAAUUAACAUGGGGAUAGGUAUAGUGAUUAUCAGGGAUAGACUCCCACAUUUCAUGGAACAACCUUUUGAUUGGACUGUUGCUAGGGCUAAAGGGCUAAAGGGCUAAAGGGGUAUGUUAGAUCGUAAAUUUAGUGCUUUUUAGAGAGUUUUAAGAGAAUUUUAAAGGGGAGGGGUAAAAUGGGAAAGCUAAUGAAAAAAGGUGAUGAUUAAUUAGAAUCGGUUUUAUUUUAGAGAGAAAGAACCAGAGGGCAAAAGUUUAUAAAAACGUGACGACACAAUAGAAAGAGUUUACGAUUUUUAUCAAUGCCCACCGAGGAUAUAUCUUGAACAAUGAUGGAAGUUUGUUAGUUUGUUUGAGUAGAGUUAUAAUUGAUUAGUAGACCUGGGAAAAUUUGAUCCGACCCGAAAAUGAACCCGGGACCCGACCCGACAAAACCCGAAUCCGACCGACCUGAAAGCGACUUAAUCCGAAACAUGAUCGACCCGAUAAUUACCCGACCGAAAACCGACCCGUUUUGACAGAUUUAAUAUCAAUUUUUAGAGUAAUUUCAAUGUUAGAAUUCAUUUCAAAUAAAAUUUUAGUUUUCAAAGUAUCUCAACAUAUUGAGUAUAUCACUUGAACUCUAAAACUCAUCAAUAGAUCUCAAAAAACACGUAUUUAACGUCUUUUUAGCCAUCGUAAUUAUUUUUCUUUAAAAACAGGACGUUAUAAUCAUCUUAAUUGAAUACAUGUAUCUUGUUAAAUCAGUCAAAUGAGUUUUUAAUUCUUCUACAUUUCAGUAAGCAAAUCAAUAUAAUCUAUACGAACGUUUCGCACGUUUGAAUGAGCUUUUCAAAAAACGAAUGUCGCUACCCUAAAUUAUAAAACGCGUAUCUUAUAAGACGAAAUAAGUACUUAGUUAGUUGUAUAUCUUUCCAACAUGAAAAUUGUGAAGAUAAUUUUAACGUCAUUUUUAUGUAACGUUACAAUUAUAAUAAACAAAAUAACUUUUAUAAAGCGCGUAUCUUACGAGUCUUUCAAAAUAAGUAUUAAUUCCCCU